rnacentral:lncRNA from 1 species
AUGAGUCCCACCAUCCACCAGUGACACCUAGCAGCAUGUAGUGGCUACCCAGUAGAAUAGAAUGAUGAACCUUUAGGUGCAGUUAUCAUGUAAUACAGUCCUUCUAUCGUGGAUCCCUACAAGACGGAGGUCAUGGAUAACUCGUCAAACCCCUUCGUCUGUCAUAUGUCAAGAUUUAUUCGACUUAAGUUCGAGAGCGGAGAACUCUUUCUCCACUGUGCAAUCUGUCCCGGCCGAGGUCUUACGAACUCAGUCUUAUAAAUCACAUAGGAUCUCUCCUUAUCUAUCAAGGACGAUAGAUUCCUUAUAGAUGCAUACCCUACUC